CGCGGGUUUGGGGCGGAGUUAACGCGUGGAGAAGCUGGUCUCGGAGCAGCAGUGCGGGGGUUCAGCUGACUUUAAAGAGGACAGCUGACCUCUGACUCCUUCAGGCCAACUGCAGAAUUCUUCAUGAGGUGGAUUUCACGCUUGAGAGACACAUUGUGCUACAGGUGUUAAAGCCAAAUAAAUUCCCAGGGGGGCGCUGUGCACACCUUACCGUCCGGGUGGAGGCACUAAGUGGUUAAUUAAGUGGAAUGGAAGAGGAUAAAGACAUAAUUCAAACUUUACUUUAAGAUAAUAUACUUAAGUGUGAUUUUUUUGUGCAUUUUUAUUAUUAUUUGUGCAUCUUAGAUUUUUCUUUAGCCUAAUUUAGCAAAUCAUAUCACAUUCAGUUCAUGGGUUAAUCAGUGGCAGUCUGAAAGGGCUGCCACUUGUGGUUAACAGUGCUUUUAGUUACCUUAGGACAUAGGAUUGCUUUCGUUUGUUUAUUAACAGCUUUGUUUAAAAGUUUGGUACUGAUCUUGAGGAAGACUUUACCAGAGGUGAGGUUCAGCUCAACUUAGAAGUGAUUCAUUUAUAGAGCUUGAUCUAGUUCUGGAUCUACACAUUUCUGAGAUGCUCCUUUAGCAAUGUGAUCAAAUUGCGCAUUUUAUGUAAUUUCGUCACAAAGAGAAAUACGCCCCCCAAUUUUUUAAAAAUUAUUUUAAAUGAAAACAUAAGAAACUAAUACAGAUCUAAAUGUCUUUCUGAUCCAGAAGAUCAUUUAGCCUCAAUGAAGAUUCAGUUAAAUCUUUA